UACGUAGGGGGCUAGCGUUGUCCGGAAUCAUUGGGCGUAAAGCGCGUGUAGGCGGUCCGGUAAGUCCGCUGUGAAAGUCGGGGGCUCAACCCUCGGAUGCCGGUGGAUACUGUCGGGCUUGAGUACGGAAGAGGCGAGUGGAAUUCCUGGUGUAGCGGUGGAAUGCGCAGAUAUCAGGAGGAACACCGAUGGCGAAGGCAGCUCGCUGGGACGGUACUGACGCUGAGGCGCGAAAGCGUGGGGAGCGAACAGG
rnacentral:rRNA from 1 species